CUACGUGCCAGCAGCCGCGGUAAUAUGGAAGGUCCGGGCGUUAUCCGGAUUUAUUGGGUUUAAAGGGAGCGUAGGCUGGAGAUUAAGUGUGUUGUGAAAUGUAGACGCUCAACGUCUGACUUGCAGCGCAUACUGGUUUCCUUGAGUACGCACAACGUUGGCGGAAUUCGUCGUGUAGCGGUGAAAUGCUUAGAUAUGACGAAGAACUCCGAUUGCGAAGGCAGCUGACGGGAGCGCAACUGACGCUGAAGCUCGAAGGUGCGGGUAUCGAACAGGAUUAGAUACCCUGGUAGUCCGCACAGUAAACGAUGGAUGCCCGCUGUUGGUACCUGGUAUCAGCGGCUAAGCGAAAGCAUUAAGCAUCCCACCUGGGGAGUACGCCGGCAACGGUGAAACUCAAAGGAAUUGACGGGGGCCCGCACAAGCGGAGGAACAUGUGGUUUAAUUCGAUGAUACGCGAGGAACCUUACCCGGGCUUGAAUUGCAGAGGAAGGAUUUAGAGAUA
rnacentral:rRNA from 1 species